CAGUCGACGAUCGCACCGCGCCGCCCGGAGGGGGAGCUCCUGGGCGCUCGAAUGCGGGGCAAGAAGAGCGCGGAGGGCAAGAUGCCGGCCAAGAAGGUCGGAUCUAGAGGGAACCGAGCGGUCUGCGGCUGCCACCCUUCCUGGAGACGACUAUGGCGUCAAAUGGGGGAGGGAGCCCCACUGAGAAGCCUCCAGAGCAUUCGAGUGAACCGCAGUGGCUGACUCUCUGGAAUUCGUAGGCGCUCUCCAAGGACCUACACACCUCUCAUAGGAGCUGGCGUCAAACCCUGAAGUACUGUGAGUGGGGUGGGGGUGGCGGCCACCUUGGCUGCAGGGAGGCCGCGCAGGCUCCCAAGAGGAUGCCUGGGGCCAGUCUUGGGUGGCCUUUCCUGAACGUCCUCUGGACACUAGUCAAUAGAUACUUCCUGUAACCUUUUUUCUUUUCUUUUUAAGAGUGUCUCUUAAAGUACAAAUCCUUAAAUAUGGAUAGCGCAGACAAAACCAAGGCGCACUUACUUCAAGCCAGCCACCCUGUGGAUAAAUCAUGAGUUCAAAAAGCUAAAACGACUUGCCAGAAAUCACGCAGCCCGGAAGCCGAAGUGUCCAAAGUUGCAACUGUGUCUCCUGAAUCCAAAUACAGUGUUCAGGAAAACCCAGUUCUGGAAAGUGAACAGCGCUUUGAGGAUUGGGAGCCUGGAUCAGCCCAAAAGGGAAGAACCAGAUCACCUUCUCCAAUUUCAUCUCCUUUCUUCUUCGGCAUUUCUAGGGAGAGGAAAGCUGUGGCCAGGGAUUUUUAAUGGCAAGGGAGAAGGGGGCUGUCAUGGACAUACCCCUUCCCCAGUGCAAAGGGAGAAUUUGAGCCCUUGGUCUCUCUAGACCUGCGUGAUGGGUGGAAUGACCAUGUUGGCACAAAGCCAAUAUAAUAAUAGAGACUGUCAAAAGAGAAGCCAACCGUACAGUAUCCCUCCUGGAUCAAGAAAAGACUUGCAAUUCUCAUUCACAAUGUGGUGACAGGAUUCACCCAGUCAUGAGAUGAGAGAACUGAGUCACCAACGCCUAGUCACAGCCCUAAUGAAGAGGUGAUGUGAACCCAAACAGUCUGACCCCAUUGUUUGUGUGCCCAGGACCUCCCCCAGCCUGUGUAACUGGACCAGCCACCUAACCUCUCUGAGCCUCUGUUUCUUCAUCUUUGAAAUGGAGCUGGCGAUACCUGCAUUACAUACCUGUAGUCAGAGCAUUGUGAGGAAUUAAAGGAAGAGGAUUAAGAAUGCAGUCUGAUAAGCAGGACACGCACUAAAAAUCUAAUUGCUGUCUCUCAAAGCGACUGUUUGGAUGGCUGGGACUUCAGUGACGGGGUGAAUGUAGAUUGGGGUGAGCUAGGAGACAAAGUUUAUGCUCCAGGACAGGGAGAAGGCAUCAGUAAUGAAACUGAAACUGUUUGCUCGCUAACCAAUCCAAAGGCUCUUCGGAGUGGCCUUUUCCUACCUCACACUGGAAGAUAGUCCAGAUCUUUGUACUCCUCUUCAUCUAAAGAUAGGGGUAGGAGGAUAUGCCUUCCUCCCACCCCCAGGCUUAAGGCGUUUGAAACUAUUCCUUGGCAAGUCUGUUUCUCCUACUGUUAAUAGCAGGCCUAGA